GGACCAUUAGCUCAAUUGGUCAGAGCAUCGCCCUAUUCAAGCGAAGGUCGCGGGUUCGAUCCCCUCAUGGUCCA